AUCAAGCUGAUGAAUCCCAAAUAUGACGAAAUGCGCAUCCUGGAU
rnacentral:hammerhead_ribozyme from 1 species